UCUCAGAUCUCUUCCUCGGUUCCCCUUGUGUGUCACAGUCCCUUUGUUUUUUUUUUUUCUUUUGGUUUGUUUGGCCUUCGACGGCGACAAGAAAAUAUAUGUGGAACUCAACCGGAGUGAGAUAAGAGAACUCGGUGAUGCCGUGUAUGACGCCAGGGUCUAGCUUCUGGUGUCGCUUUGCUCUGUGCAGUUUAUGAGACCUGAGAGAGAGGAAGAUAUAUGAGAGAGAGGAUGCACGAGAUCUGACACUGGGUUUUCUUCUUCUUCUUCAGAUGAAGCUAGAAUGAAUAAAAUUGUGUUUUCUUGCCGCUGUAUUUUUCUUUUUCUUUGAAGCUUGAAGGAAUGGAAGGAUGAACUCUAGAUUUGGCAGGUUGAAUGGUAACUGUUUUCUUGUUUGUCAAACUAGAGUGUAGACGGAAAUGAAAAGUGGAGUUAUUUUGGUAA